CCAGGGGACCGGGCGACCGCGGCUUGCGCAAGCAGGGCGAGGAAAGUCCGGGCUCCACGGAACGACGGUGCCGGGUAACGCCCGGCGGGGUCGCGGCCUUCGGGCCAAGGCUUCAGGGAAAGUGCCACAGAAAGCAUACCGCCUGCUCUCGGGCGGGUAAGGGCGAAACGGUGCGGCAAGAGCGCACCGCGUCGCUGGCAACAGCGGCGGCACGGCAAACCCCACCGGGUGCAAGACCGAAUAGGGGUGGUAUAUGGGCCUGUUCCGGCCCGCCGCCCGGGUUGGUUGCUUGAGGCGAAGGGCAACCUUCGUCCUAGAGGAAUGGUCGCCCAGGUGCUUUAGGGCGCUGGACAGAACCCGGCUUACAGGUCCCCUGGCAAA
rnacentral:RNase_P_RNA from 1 species